rnacentral:lncRNA from 1 species
UAGGGGAGGAGGGACUCAUACGAGUUGGGUUUCUUUUGGCUGGCUGCUUUCUGGCGGGUCUGGGUUCAGCUUAGAUGGCCUUGAUCGUACGGUGGACCUCAUUCUUCAUUGGUGAGUGGGGGUGCCAUCAUUGUACAUUAAAUGCACGCCCCACUUGCCAUGACCUUUGCCCUCUUGGUGAAUUGAAAGAGUGGGGUUUUGGUUCCUGGGAUUUCACACCCUGUUCUCUCCUGACCAGCUGGUCUGAUUGAGUGCUGCCCCACCUCUCUUCUCCCUCUUCUAAUUCGGUUGGGAUGUUGUCAGGUGAACUUUUUUCUAUUAUUGAUAGGGAAUUUUGUGUCUGAGAGGCUUCGCUUGCUUUGUUUUCUUUUUGUGUCCGCUUCUUGGAAUUUGGUUGGCAUGGCUUUGUAGGGAAGUAUAUAAGCUUCUUUUUUUUUUUUAAUCUAUUCUGUGUGGUGAAUUCUCACAUUUCCUUUUGUUUUCUUAAUUCUGAGUUUUUUUUUUUUUAUUCUCUGAUUUGAUUUUGUAUGGUAGACAGAUUUCACAACUGAUUGGAAUUCUUAUUUGGAGGUAAUGAUUAUAUUUAAGCUUUUAUGUUUUCUUUCUUCUCUGUUUCUUUAUCACAUUUAGUUUCAAUCAUGAUUUAGAAUUAGUUUCUUUAGAAAUUUCCUUCAAGAUGACAACUGGGUUUAGUUCUGUUGUUUCUUUCAGAUUUAAUUCAAUCUGGACAGAAAAACUUUUCCUCAGCGGGUUUGAUGCAAAUAUAAAUAAUUAUAAGCAUUAAAGCUGACUGGUUUAUUCUUCGCAUCUAAAUGUUUUUUUUGCAGGAUAUUGCCAAUUACAUGCAUGAUCACAAUGAUGCAGAGGCUACACCGUUCUAUGCAAAUUGCUUGCAUUUGUAUUUAUGGAAUGCGUGAUGCAUUCAUUCAAGGUUUGAACAACAUUAGUUUGUGUGUGACAAUUCACUUCUAAUCCUAUAUACUGGAGACUCGAAAAACAUUAUUUAAUGGGCAUAGCAUGUUAACCAUUUCCUUUCAUCCUUCCACAUUAUUAUGGUGGAAUUUAUAAUAGCAUAAAUAGUUGCAACUUCCAAUAGCCUCGCUAAACAUGUUGCCAUUGCUUUUGAUGGCUGCUGAGAGGUUGUCAGACAAUUUCUUAGGAAGAAGGUUCGGCUGCUGAAAGGUUGUUAUGAUCGAGGUUACUUCAUUGGGGUUGAGCCUUUUGGUUGCGAAUAUGAGGUGGCCUUCCAUUAAUGCAUUUGACAGGGCAUUUAGCAUUUUGUGUUUGUUUCUAUCAGUUUAGGCUAUUAUGAUGCCGCCAGUAUGAAGGCUUCAGGUUAUCUCACUUGCCUUUUGUUUUUGGUUUUACUCCUGUGCUUGCUGUCUUUUUACUUCUUUGUCCACUUAUUCCUCGUGCGAUCUGAAAAGGUGUCUGUUUGUUUUUCUGUUGUCUUUUUAAAUGGUCAAUUCUGGUCUACGUUGUCCAUCUUCGUAAGGGUUUCUUCCUACUCUUUUCCUUUAGCUCAGAUGUUUGUUCUUUUUUAAGAGAGGGAGGCUGUUGUGGUCCUCUGCUUUGUUUGGUAUCUGUCUUCUCUUCUUUUUUGCUGAUUCGAUUGGUUGUUUGAAGGAUUUAACUUUGUCUUGAGUUGCUUCUUUUUUUUUUCUUUUUUUUUCCAGCAGGGGUUGCUUUUGAAGGAGGUAAUUGGCUCUCUCUAUUGGUUCUUCGGUUGAAUAGAUUUUGGGAGAUUCUUACUGAUUAUCAUCCUUUCAGCUGAUUUCAGUAUGGCAUGUCAUGUGAUAAAUUCUUUUAGGUAAUUGAUGCAAACCAGAAACAACCUGGUUACCCCACUGGAGUGUGUUGAAGUAGCAUUAUAGCUAAGGAAAUUUGAUUGUAUCAUGUAAUUUGAACUGCCAUUGUAGUUUAAACUUAUUACCUCCACUUGGAACAAUCAAACUGUAAUAUAUUACCUUUCCACUGUUGUUUCUGGUUUGCAUCAGUUACUCAUAUUUCAUUGAACUAAGUGGGGUAAUUUGCAUCCCAGAUAUCUGUCAGUGCUAAUGGCAGUUCACAUUCUACAAUGGUAAAUUUCAUUGACUUGCAAUAUUGGUACAGGACUAUUCAUCAAAAAGGUCCAGGACUUGCUUGCUAGAGACUAGGUGGUUCAGGUUCAUCAUGCUUACAAGCUGCUGAUUGGCUAGCAAACUUGGGUUUUUUAAAAGGCCACUGGGAAAAGCUGCUACGGAUGCUCCCUCUUCUGGUUUAAUCCCUGUCUUAUUUUAUGAUAUUAUUGGGAGUAUAUCUUUAUUUAUUAAUUGCAUUUGCUUUAACUUUGUAUAUCAAACAUGCAGAGCAUGGAUUCAAAUUUAAUAGAUAGUAAAAGGCAGGGAGCGUGCUAUAUAUAUUGUAUAAAUCAAGAAUUAUGUGAUCUUCAUAUAUAUACACUUAACCGUGUCAGCCCAAUUAAGCUUGUAAUGCAGCUUCAAAUGAGGGAACUAGAAAGAAUGUUUGAUGAAGUACAUUGUCUGUCUUAUACCAUUUUCAUUAUAAUGCUCCAGUUGUAAGUACGAGAGAGAGAUGAAGCCUCUUCAUUCCAUGAUAUCCAAUCUACAUGACCUGAUUUUCAAUUCUUUUCUAUUGUUUCCUAUCCAGAUUAUGAAGUUGAUAAACUAGAAAAUGCAGGCAUCAUCAAAGGAUUUGACUAUUAUUUAUUUCUGGUAAUUAAGAAAUUAGGAGGUGAAAGCUACACUGACUUCCCUCUGUUACUGCAAUUGAAAGUCCUGAUACAAGCAUGUGUUUUUGAAUGACAGGACUUCAUAUUGGUGAAUUCUAUGUGGUAAAGUCGCAUCCUAAAGUGUAACGAAUACUAAAAUAAAACUACAGGCCAUCCAGUUCAUUCAGCAGUAUUUAAAGUGGAGGAACUUUGCACUUAGAAUUAAGACAUGGUACUUUUUCCUUAGUUGCAUCUGAAAAAUCUAAUGCAUUCAACGAAAUGAAGAAUGGAUGCACAGAGGCUCGUGAACUUGCACUCAGUUAAGCUUUAUAGGCUUCAUUUUC